GAAUUUUUUCCCACAUGUUCCAAGAGAUAAAAUUGUUUUAUUCACAUUCAAUUUUUCCAAGAAAAGUUUUUCUUUUUAUGGAUCUACAAAAGUUAGAUGUUCAAAAGCUGGGAUGUAAAAGCCCAGCUGUAAUAUUAAAUCUAAAUGCUUAUUUUUCGUUUAUUAGUCUUUUCAUGAUUUCAUUUUGCCUCAGUGCAGGGCCUCCUCAAAUAUAUAGCCCAAUUGAGUGCAAUCAGUUCAAUUGGCUUAGAUUCGAUUACUGCUAUCAAGUGCACUUUGACUACCUGAUAGGAUAUAAAUAUGUUUAUUAAUAUAAC
rnacentral:lncRNA from 1 species